UCGAGGGUAAAAUUACAAAGUUAGAAAAAUGAGGGUAAAAACACAAUUACUCCGGGUAAGAUAUUUUAUUGAUGAGAGAAAAACGGAAAAGAAUUGUCAAAUAGAUAAACUGUAUAACUGGAGCAAACCGUAAGAUUAAUUCAGAUUGUAGAGUUUCCCGUGAUCAAAUCAUGCAUGGUUUUCAACGAGAGUUCGCACUGAAAGUCUAGAUCCACACAUGCAAGGACAGAAAAAUGUGAGGCCAGGUGCUUCUCAUGAUAAUUGACUGAUGAUAGUUUCGUCUCCAACUUUAUUCAGCAGCUACUACAUCAUACAGUACCCUCAUACGAGAUUUCACACUCUUCUAGCUGCUUCAGGCAGAGUUCACACGAAUACUUGUAUGUGUCAAACAAGUAGAAGUAUACAAUAUACGUGCAUCAGAAAUGUAGGUAACCUGUCGAGUAGGGUUGUCAGUUCAGGCUAUAAAUGGUCGAUCAAAUUGAUUGUACAUGACGUCCACAAUUUCAGACAAUGAAUAGCAAAUGAAAAUCAAAUUAAUAAAUUCAGGAUUGCUAGCAGAGUAGUACUCCCUCCGUUUCAAAUUGUAAGUCAUUCCAACUUUUUUGGAAAGUCAAAGCAACUCAAAUUUGACCAAAUUUAUACAAUAAAGGCCCCGUUUUCUUCCACUGACUUAUUUUUAGCACCCG
rnacentral:lncRNA from 1 species